UAAUAUAGGACUUCGGCGAGGCUGUUUUAUAGUAUGUUCCGGUCUAGGAGUUGUAAGGUAAGGAGAACGAGGCGGGUUAAUUUUACUGGGCGGAAGUUCAGUCAACAGGAUGUUGCGGGCCGGGCUGGGAGGAGCCUGACCAGGAACCAGAAGUUAAUUCCGGAUAUAUAGAACUAGUGGAGGUAGGUACCUGAAGGGGAGGACUCAGGGCAAGUGGGCUGGGCUCUAAACUAGAUGAAUGAGUGAGCAGGGACAAUGG